UACGGAGGGUGCGAGCGUUGUCCGGAAUCACUGGGCGUAAAGGGCGCGUAGGCGGCGCGGGAAGCGUGCGGUGAAAGCCCGGGGCUCAACCCCGGGUCGGCCGUGCGAACUCCCGGGCUCGAGCACUGUAGGGGCAGGCGGAAUUCCGGGUGUAGCGGUGGAAUGCGUAGAGAUCCGGAAGAACACCGGUGGCGAAGGCGGCCUGCUGGGCAGUUUAGCUGACACUGAGGCGCGACAGCGUGGGGAGCAAACAGG
rnacentral:rRNA from 1 species